GGCUUGAUCGGCAGGCAUAGCACUGGCCCUUAGCUGCCGCCACUCCCCCCGCUAUAGCACAUUGCUGUGUGCGCUGAGCCCGCCUCCUGCUGCCUGCACGGCUAUGGUGACAGCUGAGCGACCGAUAUAGCAUCAGCAGCACGGUGUGCGCUGACGGCGGUGCUGCUACUCCCACCUAUUGCAGCCGCCAUGCCUAGUUUUAGCUUUCGGAGUCUGUACAAGUACCCCCAUCUCUUGUACUACUACAGGUCUCAGUAAGCACUGUCUGGUUGUUCAUACAUACGCUGCAUCUGCUAAAGACUUUGUAUAUUUCGAAAAAAAUUGUAUUUAAUUUUUUUACACUGCUUCCAAAAGGUGGUAUAAUAACAGGAAUAAAAACUUUAGGUAUCAUAGUGGGAUAUACUGUAAAAUCACUAUACAAUGCCUACAAAAUGGCAACAUAGAAAGAGGCAACUGCCCUCUUCCAAAUGUUUACUGGAUCCUGCGACGUCGAUGCUUGUGAGGACCUGGCUCCGCCAUGCGUUCUUGAAGAGGAAGGGAAUGCUCGCCUUUAUGGUGCUUUAUCACUGAUCCUUUUUUUCCCCCAUGGAACCAUGUGCUGAAGAUGAGUAGGAUUCUGCUUUGGAUUACACUUGUUAUAUCUGCAGGACUCGUCACACUCACAGUAAUCGGUGAACUGAUUAAAUGAUAACUCAACUUUCUAAAAUAUAAUUUUAAAAAUGAAUCUUCCUUUUGAAUGGGUGGACCUAAAACGCAGAGUUGGAUGUGCCUUCUACUACUUCAUCCCAUCAGCGUAAUAACAUUUACAAGGAAUACCUUGAAUAUUUAUUGUGCUAACACAGUCAGAUGUUAGAAUCCCUGUAAAGUGUCAUGGAUAGAAUGUCGCCCUUUGUUGCAUGCUCUGCACAUCAGGUCUUCAUUGUGGUGCAAGUGAAGGGGCUCUUAUAAGAGGCCAGCCCUCUGCUCAGCUAAUUGUUAAUUCCAGGUUCUGUCACACAACUCAUCUGAUUGCUCCCAGUGUGCAUAGAGACAUUACAGCUCUUUUGCCUCCAUUACAUUAUGAUCCAUGUGUGGUAGCAUGCAACAUAUAUUAAUAAAUUCCACAAGCACUUGAAUUGCAAGGUACAUAGUUUAAAUGAAAUGGAUU